AUAGGGGAUGUUCUUAAGGAGGAGUCGGAGGGGGGGGGGGGGGGGGGGGGGGGGGGGGGGGGGGGGGGGGGGGGGGGGGGGGGGGGGGGGGGGGGGGGGGGGUAUAAAUAUCUCAUUCAUUCAUUCACUUCCUACUCUGAACGCAGUAAGGACCAAAAGGGAGGCAAUGUGGAGAGUCUCAGCGCUCAUCGUGAUUGUUUUCUUUCUGGGUGGAGUAGGCGGUACCGUGAAUUCUAAAGAGUGCAUCCCGGUAAACUGCACGAGCGAUUCCGCCUCACUUACUAUGGAUAAAAGCAUCAUUGACGAACGCAAAGAUUGUGAGCACAGGAUCUACAGUGAGUCGGAUGAUUAUGUGGGUGAUGCUAAUACGUCAGGGGUCUUGAAUCUUUCAUGCGACUUUCAAAAAAGGACCUGGAAGAUCGACUGUCACAACAAGAAGAGAGAUUUUGAGGCCUGUUUCACGAGCAAGAACAAACAUCUCCUUGUUCUGCCGGUGGUGGUGGCUGCUGUUGUUGUUGGGAUCUACUUUUAUAUCCGCUACAGGAAAAAUUAAAGAUGGCAACAGAAACCCAGCUGCUGAAAACCAACACAGUAAGUACGACCAUCACAAAUGAACCUGAAAUAGAAAAACCUGUAACUGUAGCUGUACACACUCUAAUCCUUCUCUGUUUUUUUUUCUUUUUUUUCAAAGAUUCCCCUAUUUGAUGAUGAAGAACCAGCAGUGGUUCUUCUCUUAUUCCAACUUUUCUGUCUGCCUGGCUACUUUUUUUUAAACUUUAUAAUAUCUUAGGGUAGAUUUAAUGCAAUUUAAAAAAUAGUACAUUUUAAUGUGCUGAGUAACACCUUAAAAAAUAGUUUUUAAAAUGAACAUAAUUUAUGAAUUUAUGAAAUAAUCACAGACAAGAACCUAGCUUUUCGGCGGCUUUAGUCACAAACCAAACCAAUGCUAACACCAAUCUAAGCAAAUAUAUACUACACUACGAUUCUGUAUAUCGACGCUGUCCAAUAAAAACACUUAUCUCCAAAACA
rnacentral:lncRNA from 1 species